rnacentral:rRNA from 1 species
CCUACGGGUGGCAGCAGUGAGGAAUAUUGGUCAAUGGGCGGAAGCCUGAACCAGCCAAGUCGCGUGAGGGAUUAAGGCCCUGCGGGUCGUAAACCUCUUUUGCCGGGGAGCAGAGGUCCGGACGUGUGGAUGUUUGCAGGUACCACAUGAAUAAGGACCGGCUAAUUCCGUGCCAGCAGCCGCGGUAAUACGGAAGGUCCGGGCGUUAUCCGGAUUUAUUGGGUUUAAAGGGAGCGUAGGCCGGUCUUUAAGCGUGCCGUGAAAUUUUGUGGCUCAACCAUGAGAGUGCGGCGCGAACUGGAGACCUUGAGUGCGCGGAAGGCAGGCGGAAUUCGUGGUGUAGCGGUGAAAUGCUUAGAUAUCACGAAGAACCCCGAUUGCGAAGGCAGCCUGCCGCAGCGUUACUGACGCUGAAGCUCGAAAGCGCGGGUAUCGAACAGGAUUAGAUACCCUGGUAGUC